rnacentral:rRNA from 1 species
UAAAAACACAGGACUUUGCUAAAUAGUAAUAUGAUGUAUAAGGUCUGACGUCUGCCCGGUGAUGAAUAAUUAAUAGGAGAGAUAUUUUAUUUUAUUAAAUUUUAAUUUUAUAAAAUGUUUUGAAUAUAAGUGUCAUUAAACGGCGGCUGUAACUCUGACGGUCCUAAGGUAGCGAAAUUCCUUGUCAAUUAAGUAUUGACCCGCAUGAAUGACGUAACGACUUCACCACUGUCUCCAGAGUUGAUCCAGUGAAUUUGCAAUUUACGUGAAGAUGCGUAAUAUUUACGGCGGGACGGAGAGACCCCGUGCACCUUAACUAUAAUUUUAUAUUGAAAGGGGUAAUUUAAUAUGAAGAAUAAUUAGGAGUUUAUGAUCUAUGUAUUUUUUAUACAUUAGGAGACGUCUGUGCUAUACUAGUUAUUAAAUUAGUAUCUUUCUAAUUUUAAGAAAAAAGUAGUAUGAUUGGUAGUUUAGCUGGGCGGCUUCCUCCAAAAGAGUAACGGAGGAGUACAAAGACAAUUC